rnacentral:rRNA from 1 species
CCUACGGGAGGCAGCAGUGGGGAAUAUUGCACAAUGGGGGAAACCCUGAUGCAGCGACGCCGCGUGAGCGAUGAAGUAUUUCGGUAUGUAAAGUUCUAUCAGCAGGGAAGAAAAUGACGGUACCUGACUAAGAAGCCCCGGCUAACUACGUGCCAGCAGCCGCGGUAAUACGUAGGGGGCAAGCGUUAUCCGGAUUUACUGGGGGUAAAGGGAGCGUAGGCGGCGUUGCAAGUCAGAUGUGAAAGCCUGGGGCUCAACCCCGGGACUGCAUUUGAAACUGUGUUGCUAGAGUGUAGGAGAGGUAGGCGGAAUUCCUAGUGUAGCGGUGAAAUGCGUAGAUAUUAGGAGGAACACCAGUGGCGAAGGCGGCCUGCUGGACGAUAACUGACGUUGAGGCGCGAAAGCGUGGGGAGCAAACAGGAUUAGAUACCCGGGUAGUC